GUGGGGAAUAUUGGACAAUGGGCGAAAGCCUGAUCCAGCCAUGCCGCGUGUGUGAAGAAGGUCUUCGGAUUGUAAAGCACUUUAAGUUGGGAGGAAGGGCAGUAAGUUAAUACCUUGCUGUUUUGACGUUACCGACAGAAUAAGCACCGGCUAACUUCGUGUCAGCAGCCGCGGUAAUACGAAGGGUGCAAGCGUUAAUCGGAAUUACUGGGCGUAAAGCGCGCGUAGGUGGUUUUGUAAGUUGGAGGUGAAAUCCCCGGGCUCAACCUGGGAACUGCCUCCAAAACUGCAUGACUAGAGUACGGUAGAGGGUAGUGGAAUUUCCUGAGUAGCGGUGAAAUGCGUAGAUAUAGGAAGGAACACCAGUGGCGAAGGCGACUACCUGGACUGAUACUGACACUGAGGUGCGAAAGCGUGGGGAGCAAACAGGAUUAGAUACCCCUGUAGUCC
rnacentral:rRNA from 1 species